rnacentral:rRNA from 1 species
CGUGUAGGCGGCCGAUUAAGUCCGGAGUGAAAGUCCUGCUUUCAAGGUGGGAAUUGCUUUGGAAACUGGUUGGCUUGAGUGCGGAAGAGGUAAGUGGAAUUCCCAGUGUAGCGGUGAAAUGCGUAGAGAUUGGGAGGAACACCAGUGGCGAAGGCGACUUACUGGGCCGUAACUGACGCUGAGGCGCGAAAGCGCGGGGAGCGAACA